GUAGGGCAUGGUGGUGCAUGCCUGUAAUCCCAGGAGCUUGGGAGGCUGAGGCAGGAGCAUUGCAAGUUCAAAGCCAGCCUCAGCAGCUUAGUGAGGGCCUGAGCUACUUAGGAAUACCCAGUCUCUA
rnacentral:sRNA from 1 species